rnacentral:tmRNA from 1 species
GGGAGCGACUUGGCUUCGACAGGAGUAAGUCUGCUUAGAUGGCAUGCCGCUUUGGGCAAAGCGUAAAAAGCCCAAAUAAAAUUAAACGCAAACAACGUUAAAUUUGCUCCUGCUUACGCUAAAGCUGCGUAAGUUCAGUUGAGCCUGAAAUUUAAGUCAUACUAUCUAGCUUAAUUUUCGGUCAUUUUUGAUAGUGUAGCCUUGCGUUUGACAAGCGUUGAGGUGAAGUCAAGUCUUAACCUUGCUUUUAAGUUUUGGAAGAUGAGCGAAGUAGGGUGAAAAAGUCAUCUUUGCUAAGCAUGUAGAGGUCUUUGUGGGGUUAUUUUUGGACAGGGGUUCAAUUCCCCUCGCUUCCACCA